rnacentral:rRNA from 1 species
AACGCUGGCGGCAUGCCUUACACAUGCAAGUCGAACGGCAGCACGGGGGCAACCCUGGUGGCGAGUGGCGAACGGGUGAGUAAUACAUCUGGAACGUGUCCUGUAGUGGGGGAUAGCCCGGCGAAAGCCGGAUUAAUACCGCAUACGCUCUACGGAGGAAAGGGGGGGAUCUUAGGACCUCCCGCUACAGGGGCGGCCGAUGGCAGAUUAGCUAGUUGGUGGGGUAAAGGCCUACCAAGGCGACGAUCUGUAGCUGGUCUGAGAGGACGACCAGCCACACUGGGACUGAGACACGGCCCAGACUCCUACGGGAGG